GCGACUGGUCUGUAGAAAGCAGGAAAUGCGUAAUGAGCCGCGCUUCCGCUUCCAAAGUUCUCAGUGAUGUGGCAGUAUCACUGACAUCACCAGGCAUUCUAACAUCGGCAAUCUGUGUAGAACUGUAGGCUUUUACAAUAAAUAGCGUAGGGUCUGCAUUUCUACAGUUUCUUGAAACUGAAUCACAGCAUGGAAAAACGAACUUUUUUUGUCGAAUCGAUUAGAUGUAUGGAAUGUGUAGUUUCAGGAAAUUCGUCAGAAAAAAAUUCUGGAAAUGCUUCAUGAGACGCAUUACAAUAUUGUCUGAACCGCUCACAAACAUGUGUUAUACCAAAUCCUGUGACCAUUGCAGUCUGUGAUCCUAGAGGCGCUGCUGCCAAGGUCGCAAGCAAGGAUUCAGCCCCGCAACUGCAGCGGGCAGGCGGAAGCGACACCCGGAAACGGCAGGUAGCGGCGUUUAAUAGUGGCAGGUGCCGUUCAGAUACAGUGCAUGCUGCGGUGGAGGAGUGACAUCUGCCACUUGAAUCUCCGAUCCACCCGACUCUCCCUGCUCCCGCUUCCUGCGCCUUCGGACCCUUCCCUCUCCUGUGUGCCCUGUCUGCGUCCGCGGACAGACCUCCCGGAUCUUCGACCUUACGGCUCCCGACCUGACGACGAUUACGGUCUUCUCUCAGGUUUGCCCCAAUAAAGGAACGUUGGACCUUUCCCGAGUGUUCUGUCAUUAUAAUUUUUAUGACAGAAUAUUACAUCUAAACAAAAAUAUCACUUCUUAUAAGGUUAACAUUAUCUAAUAAUUUACAAGUAUAGAAGCCGAGGAAUUUAACUUCAGUAUUUUUAUGACCUGAUCCUCAUCUGAUCCUUCUGCGUGCCACGCCCCCCUCAUUAACCCCGUGUGGAUUCCCCGUGUUCACCAGCUGUUUCCUGUUGCUGUCAUUAGUUCAAUGUAUUUAGUCUGCGUUAGGUAUGUUUUCCAGCCCGGUCAUUGAAGUCUAUAUGUCUUUUGUGCUCCUUUUUCAACUAAAACCCCUUUAUUUUACCCCAGUCCUGUUCUCCUUGGCUGCUUCCCCGGUCUACGCCACGCCAGUCACGACAAGUAUGAUGUUUGAAAAUAAUUUUCCUUUUAAACAGACAAAAGUUGUUUUCACCUUCUAAAUCUUUUCUCAUGUUCAGAUUUGAUGACAUUUUUCGACAAAUUUUAGACAGGAACUAAAGGGGUUUUGCACCUUCAAAUCCAGCUGGGAACACAGCUAACAUACACAUUGGUUGUCUUCAUGUAAUGAUUCCCUGGCAUUCAAGGGGUUAAACCCUUUGAGCCAUUGAACUCACCUCAGGAUGACAGUAUAUAAAGUCAUAUCACUUGAUUUCUGCCUGGCUCGACUAUUCUGUAAUGACCUGCUCCUCCUGUCCUUCUGUGUGCCACGCCCCCCCAUCUACCUCGUGUGGAAUCCCUGUGUUACCGGCUUGAUGUUAAUUAGUCUGAUGUACUUAACUCUGUGUUGGGUAUGUUUUCCCUAAUCUGGUCAUUAAUGUCAUAUCAUGUCUGCCUGUUCCAUGGUCCUGGUUUGUGUUUGCCCGGGAAUUAAAUCGCAGGCCUGCCUCUACUUCCACUGUCUCUGCCUGUAAUCCAUGGUAGAAUGAUUGGACUCCAAAAGAAGAUGCCUCGCCUUAUGGAGGAGGAACACCUCGUCAACCAAAAAUCGAGGUGAUCUACUGGUAUGGGCAGCUAGAAACAAAGGAGGACACAGCUUCCAGAGCCCUCUUUAAAUGGUCGAGGGAGACCCUUCCAAGGAUCCGCACCUCAUGGAGGAUGUGCAGAGAAACUUGACCCAGCUAAGAAGCUGGGUUGCGGGGGGAGAGCAUGGCCUAUGGUCUACCCCCCCCGCCGUACGACCUGCUGGACAAAAACGUCGACAAAUACCUAAUCGUGUAUCAACGAAAACUUCCCUGACACAAAAAGGCAUGGCGUAACAGAGGGCAACACUGGUCCGUGUGGCUGUCCAUCACCAGGCAUGCUGUGCAUCAGCAGAUGACGCUCGCAGCUGGGGGAAUGCAGGAAGAAAAGAGGUCAAGGUUAGUACUGUACCGUACAUGUAUAACCACUUAUAGGCCAUAUAUACUUCCAACGGUCAGGUAAAGUUGGACUGCUACAUGUAUAAUAUAAUGAUCUAUACCAUAUGUGUGUCUGCUGGGGUGUGACAUGAAUAAAUGGUGUCCUGUAGUUGUGUUCUGGGCAUACAUUAAUUCUGGCUAUAACGGACUGUGGAUAUAACGGACUAUUUUGUUAGAUUCCUUAAAGUCCAUUAUAACGGGAUUCACAAACGCAAAGCUAAAUUCCUUUCCUUUCAACUGUGAGCGAAUAUUCUUUUUUUCUUUCCUCUUUCACGGAUAAAAAGCAUAUUUUAUCCAAGUUACAAAUGUGUCUUCUUCAAGCACUAAACAGAUUUUGAUAGCAAUAGUGAUCUUUGGCCAGGAGGGGAGUUCAGGAAGUACACAUACAUGACAGCCCAGUGCCCAAAUAUCUGCUUUUGCUCCAUGUCCCUUCCGUUUCCACACUUCUGGAGCCAUAUAGCAGGGUGUUCCACAAACUUCUCUACAACACACACAAAUGGGAAAACAUUAAGCACGCAUGUGCUUUCACUUGCUGUAUAAGCAAUUUGAAGGCUUUGCCAGAGAUCGUACAAAAAGUACGUACUUCAAUCUUGGCUUGGUUGCCAGUCCAAAAUCCCCAAUUUUCAGUUCCAGUUCAUCAUUUAUGAACAAAUUGUCUUAAAGGCAAAAAAAUCUGCAUCUAGUACAGACUCAAAAGGUUCACCAAACUGCAGACUUAACCGAAUUGCAAAAUUAACACUAUACAGAAAUCCAUAGUAAGUACACUAACAAUGCCACAUGAGACAACAGCAUUAAUAUACAGAGGAUUAAGCACAGCGUAUACAUCCAUAAUUUGUCCCUAUGGAUAUUGCCUUGGCGGUUGAUGUAUUUAAUACUCGAAACAAGCUUCUGCAUAUAGUAGCGAACUUCGGGGUCAGUUGUAGUCCCUCAAGCCUUUAAGAUGUCAUGAAGUGUCUGGGCUGGGAGAAACGGGGGCAGCCUGAAUCAUCGCAGAAUCUUAGCCUUAAUGAAAUGUCUGCAAAAGUCAUGGACUGCCCACCAUGUUCCUGCGCUGGAGUUUUCUUAAGAUCUCAAUUUCUUGACAAACCACCAUCUCAUUAAGCAAAAAUGAAAUUCAUAUAAACUGCAGAGAGGGCUGACAUUAAGCACAAUCUAUACAACACACCUCAUCCAUUCCCCAGGAAUACAGAGGUAUGACCAUCACUGCAAAGGUGUCACCAUUGACAAGGUCUGCCAUUUUAUAGGACUUGCCAAAAGUGCUCUAAAAAACAUGUCAAAGUGUUAAGAGUUAAAGAUAUUUUGCCGUGACUCUUUCUGGUAGAUCCUGUUCAAGUAUCUGCUCCACCUCAGAAAAAUUAACUGCAUUCUAACUGCAAACUUUGUAGCACAUGCAAGUUCCAAAAUCUCUCUUGUAACCCCUUGACGUGCUGAGAUCAAUUUCAACCUCAGCCACUUCGGGUCUAGUCUGAACACAGGGCGACUCGCUGACAGCCAUGAUUUCUUUAAGAGAAGCACUGAUCAGCGACUGGUCUGUAGAAAGCAGGAAAUGCGUAAUGAGCCGCGCUUCCGCUUCCAAAGUUCUCAGUGAUGUGGCAGUAUCACUGACAUCACCAGGCAUUCUAACAUCGCCAAGGUAGCAGGCCAAUUUGAACUUGGUGUUAGAUUACGUCACCACAUCAAACCCUUUUGGAGUUUGUGUUGUAUUUUUUAACUCCUAUAGUUAAAAGUAAAUUGCUUAAUUUAAGCUCAAAGGGGUUGGAGGAUUGCCCCAGAAACCUGACUCCCAUGUUUGAAUGGUUGAAACACAAAGUUUUUUUUCAUAAUGGAGUGUACGGGAAACUGAGGGAGGCACUCGGGGAUCGGUCAUCAUCGCACUUGCUUGGUACAGCUGCUCUACGUGUCACUGUGUAAAUAAACACAGGUACCAGUUAAAAAAAGCAUGGAAUUCACCAGAGUCCAAAGAGGACUAUGCUAACAUUCAAUACAUUAUAGCUUUGUCCAUGCAAAACACCAAGACAAGCUAUAACAUGUGCUAGUGCAGGACGGAAUGGUAUCAGCAAUAGAACAGGAGAAGGAUUUGCUGUUGUGAAUAGCACAUCUUUACCUCAACCACUGUGACCAGCUCAACUUAGUCAGCAACCUGCUUUCGACCUGCUCAACAACAAGUGACCCCGCAGGCUGGGCGAACCCUGCUGUACAUCAAGCUGCCAUGUUGCUCAUCCCCCUUGUGAAGGCUCAACUGUGAGAAAGCAUGGAGUUUCCAGGUCAAGCAUUUGAGUCUGAGGAACUGAGAGAGCAUCUUCUGGUAGGGUUUAUGCUGAUGAAGUUCACCCCUUGAUUUCUUCCUUUUGAAAUAGGUGCUGGGCCAAUCGGUUGAAGAACUUCACCACUGGGUUCUUCACUGCUUUGAGCUGUGGCACAGCAUCGCAGCUACUAGAUGGAAGUCACUUAGGUGUGAUGCCCUUGGGUGGGGGUUUAAUAUAUUUCAGUUAAGCAAACCAAUUAUAUUCAUCCAUCAAUCCAACAAUGGGAAAAAUAACUAAUGAUUUCAAAAUAAAGCAGGAGUAUCUAACUCUACAGGUUGAGUUAAAUAACAUUAGACUCACUAAGAGGAAUGUAGAAAGAAAGAUUGCAUUGGAGGCUAAGGAUGACAUUAAACGUUUCUUUCAAUAUUGUAUUUCCAAAAGAGCUCUAAAAGCUGAAAUCACUGGCUUGCAGAAUAGUAAGGGCCUUAUAAUUGAAAAUAAAAUUGAUAUAGUAAAUGAGUUUUUAAUGAUUAUUUUACUCGGGCGUUCACAGUAGAGGACAACUUACUAGUACAGCGUCUUCUAUGACCAAUAUAUGUAUAACUGAUGUAGUACUAAGCCUAGCUAAGCCCAAAAUAAAUAAAUCACAGGCCCCUGAUGGCAUCUUACCUAUAGUUUUAAAAAAGAUUAGGGAAAUUAUUACCCAACUUUUAAAUUUGCUAUUUCAGAAAUCAUUAUCUGCUGGUGUGGUGCCUUCUCAUUGGAAGUAUGCUAAUAUAAGACCCAUAUUCAAAAAAGAGGAUAGAAGUAAUUCAGCAAACUAUAGGUCAAUCAGUUUAACUUGCAUACCUGGAAAAGUAAUAGAAGCUAUAAUCCAAGUGAAAAUUGUAGAUUACCUGGACUCAAAUAACAUUCUGAGGGAUAGGAUUUUAGAGAGGUAGAUCCUGUUUAAGAUUUUAGAUUAUUUUCUUAAUGUUCUGUAGGUCUUGAUUAAAGGGAUUUCACCAACCAGAAGCUUGUACCUGUAUUGUGACUGGCAGCAAAGGUGUUUGAGGUUUUUCACAUACUGUAUGA